rnacentral:rRNA from 1 species
UCAGCGGUGGAUGUCUAGGUUCCCACAACGAUGAAGAACGCAGCGAAAUGCGAUACGUAAUGCGAAUUGCAAGACCUCGUGAAUCAUUAAGAUUUUGAACGCACAUUGCGCUUUCGGGAUUUUCCCGGUAGCAUGCUUGUCUGAGUGUCUGUGGAUCCCACUCAGCGCUGGUCUACU